rnacentral:rRNA from 1 species
UACGGAGGGAGCUAGCGUUGUUCGGAAUUACUGGGCGUAAAGCGCGCGUAGGCGGCUUUGUAAGUUAGAGGUGAAAGCCCGGAGCUCAACUCCGGAACUGCCUUUAAAACUGCAUCGCUUGAAUCCAGGAGAGGUGAGUGGAAUUCCGAGUGUAGAGGUGAAAUUCGAUAGAUAUUCGGAAGAACACCAGUGGCGAAGGCGGCU